rnacentral:rRNA from 1 species
GUUGAACGCUGGCGGCGUGCUUAACACAUGCAAGUCGAUCGGUAACAGGUGUAGCAAUACAUGCUGACGAGAGGCGGACGGGUGAGUAAUGCUUGGGAAUCUGCCUAUUAGUGGGGGACAACCCGGGGAAACUCGGGCUAAUACCGCAUACGCUCUACGGAGGAAAGCCGGGGACCGCAAGGCCUGGCGCUAAUAGAUGAGCCCAAGUCGGAUUAGCUAGUUGGUAGGGUAACGGCCUACCAAGGCGACAAUCCGUAGCUGGUCUGAGAGGACGACCAGCCACACCGGAACUGAGACACGGUCCGGACUCCUACGGGAGGCAGCAGUGGGGAAUAUUGGACAAUGGGGGCAACCCUGA